UUCUCCUUGGGAACAGCUGCUGCUCAUGAAGCUUUUGCAGGAUGCAGACCGUGAAAUCUGGGGCCAUUUUGUGCCAGUAUUUCCCUGUUGUUCCAGCUCAGGAGCAAGUUACAAUUGAGUUCCUUGCACUGCUUGGACCAGGUAGUCUGUGAGCAGCCCAGGUGCCAUACAGAUGUCAAGAGAUGCUAAUGAGGCCACUUCACUUUGCACCGUGACCCUGGCACGGCAUGUGCCAGCACCAGUGAGGGGAUGGACUGGAGCAGCUGCCUUCCCCAGUGCCAAGUCAUUAUUGCCAAAACUACAGAAAAACCCAGAUCUUCCUGCUGAAUAAUGGUGAAGAGAGCAAGCACCAUCCCAGCCACGUCACUCCAGGCAUUGUGAAAAGUACUUCUGGUCUUUGGUCCUGUUCUGGCGAGCUCACAUGGGACCCAGGUGUAAUUACAGCUUCUCAGCCAGCACUGGUGUGGGAUCUGUGCUGGGACACCUGCGAGCUGGAAUGUGUCUCACAGGGACUGUGCCUAAGCCUGGAAUUACUGACAUCUGUGUAUCAUUUCAGUGGUAAAUUACAGCUGGGACAUGCUAACCCCAAAGUACAAUAAAGAUCCCAGAUACCAUCAAAGCUGUUACAGGUCUCCAGGAAUAUCUCCAUUUCAGUCUCAGAUGUGAUAUCUAAGCACUAACUGGGAACCUCUGUUCUCAUCAGUAUAUACCAUCAGUUACACAAUGAAAUCUGUAGGCUGCAAAAGAAGAUCAUGCAGUGCCCUCGAUGCAGACAUCUCUCCUGCUGGCUGGCCUUGCUGAAGGAUCUGCAGUUCAGCUGUUGGUGAGAGCAGCUGCCCUCAGUGAAUUGUUCCUCCAUUUCUCCUUCCUCCAAAAGAGUCCUCCAAAGUGGCUCAUCAGCUUCCUCCUCAAGGAGUGAAAGGAUCUGGGUAAAGGCACAAGGACAUCAGCGUGUCAGGCCAUCCACAAAACCUUCCUUCAAAUGUCUGGGAGCAAAGGGAUGCCUGGGCAGGGACGUGGUGCCAUGGAGAGCCCAGACACAGCUGCAGCCCUGGGAAUCCUCCAGUCCAAACUGAAGGGGCUCCCCAGUGGGACAGAAGGGAUGGAUGGUUCCAUGCCACAGGACUUCCACUGCCAUUGCCUGGGGACCAGCAGGGACCAGAAAAUAAAGAGGCCCUCGUUUUCCACAUCGGUGGAAAAGGAGUGAAAAGAAGUGAGCUCUGACAGGGCACAAACCAACCAGGCAGGAACAGUCCCUGUGCCUGUCACUGCUGUGUCAGUCAGGAACUUUGUUUAAUUCUGAGGAUUCAUUAUUUAAAUCUUAAAAUGCCUCCCUGAAACUCAGAAGAAAUAUUCCUGCUUUCAAUAAUACAUUUGCAAUAAUGCUGUCCUCCCUCCUUCAGACCUCUUUGAAAUCAAGCACUGCAGUCAGUGACAUGUUGACAGUUUUGUAUGAAUUAAUGAAAAAGAAGUUGGAAGUGGUUGACCAAGAUUUAUUCAUUAUUAUUCUUAAACUGAUCAUAUAUCCAUGUUGCUCUUCUGAAAAGAAAAUUAAGAGAAGAAGGAACUGAAAAAAUGAUUUAGAAUUUAUUCUGUACCUCAAUCUACAAGAUACAAUUUUAAGUAUGAAGGCUUCUGGUUUGAGGUGGAAAUUCUUGCUCUAAAUAGUAUUUGCUGGUAUUAAUUAUUAAUUUAUUGGUAUAAAUUGCUUUCCAGGUAUUGCUUAACAUGCUGAGAUGAUGUGAAAAUGGAUAUUUCCAAUAUUGGGAAAACCUAAGUCCAAAGAUGGUCACUCAAUAGAUAAAGGCUAACUAUUAUUUAAUCCCUUUUGUUUAAAAAGAAAAUUAUUAAUCAUCUUGGCAACAAAACCCUAAGACACAAAACAUUAACAUUCCUGCUGAAUAUUUUAUUACAUACCCUUUAUGAUAAAAAUCUAAAUGCAAAAUCUUCGUGAUCCA